ensembl:lncRNA
UACAGUAACCUACAGAGUAGUAGUUAGUAGGUAGACAAGAACUGGUCCAAAGUUCACUUUAGUAAUGAGAGCAAAUUUAAUUUAUUUGGGUCUGAUGGGAAACAUUUUGAUCAGCGUCAAACUAGGGAACUAAAGACUGAAACCCGAGUGUGUAAACAAGUCAGUGAAAAGUGGCGGUCUGGGGGAUGUUUUCUGCGGCAGGAGUUGCAGUGUAAAUACAUACAUAAAAUAAGUGGGCUAAACAGUAGUAUUUCUGAUGACAAUUGCAGUUGUUCAAAGAACUCCGAAAUCUACAAGUCAAGUUCAAACUCGUUGCAUGACGUCAGACCUGGUGCACAAAAUCACAAGGGAGUAAACAUAGAAAGUCAGAUGAAGAGUGAAAAUGAGAAGCUCCAAAAAGAACUGGAGCAACACAAACUCAGAGAAAGAGAGUGGGAACAAAAACUUAAGGAAGUGGAGGACAGAUUAAGGCUGGAGACAGAUCUGAGGAGAAGAGAGAAGGAACUGGAGUCCAAAGAGGGAGGAACGCCAAAGAAAGAGCAAGAAAUCCAAACUACUGGAGAAGAGCAUCAUCUACACAGCAACAUAGAGCUAACUUCUCCUGGGUGUAAGUACUGCUAUGUCAAAAAAUAUCUUAAUGUUGUAGGUUUACCAUUAGCUCUCUUGAUGACCCAGUUACAGUAAUGCACUUCCAACGAAAGUACAUUCAGCAUUUGCACAACAAAAGUACAUAUUUACAUAUUUCACUGCUCACACAAUUGACUGUAUUCCACAAAUGCUAUUGAUAGAGUUUUGAAAUGUAUUAAAUCAGAAACUUAUUUCAUAGGCCUAUCCAUAUUUUGUUUUAGAAAUACUUUUCAUUGAGAUUUAAACAAAUGAAGACUUACAGUUUUUUUUGUUGAUAUUGCUUUGUUCCUCUAUACUCUUAGUAUCUCAAGACCAACGCAGAUCUCUAGAUGAAAGAGAGGGAGAGUUGAGGAGCAAAGCUGAAGAUUCACAUCACAGCAAAUCACUUGAGUUUGGAAAACCUGUGAGACGCAACAGCAACCCACUCGCACCACCUAAUAUUAAAUAUAUCAUUAAUCUACAUUUUGACAAAGAAAGAUUUGCAUUUGGCUUUUUAAAGCAAAUGCAUGUAGUUUUGUGUAUUUUUGUGACUUUGGAGAUCCUUACCGUUAAAUGUGUCGAAUUCACUGUUGUAAAUGCAACCAUCCUUUUGGCAGAAUUUCAUACCCACUUGCUAAACUUACACACCAAACAAAUGUUUGGAAAGAAAAAGAGGAAUCCAUUUUGUCAUUAUUUACUGACACUCAUAAUGUUCAAAACAUGUAAGACUGUCUUUGUCGCUGUUUUUCAUGCAAUUACUGUAAAUGCGCACUCAAGCUUAAAAAUAUCAUAAAGGUCCACACAUUAGUAUAUUCCAAGUGCUCUUUUGACUUUAAGUUUGAAA